rnacentral:rRNA from 1 species
UGAGGAAUAUUGGGCAAUGCCCGCAAGGGUGACCCAGCAACGCCGCGUGGAGGAUGAAUGUCGUAAGAUUGUAAACUCCUGUUAGAGGGGAAGAAUAGUACCGGUUGGACCGGUAUAUGACUGUACCCUCAGAGAAAGCCCCGGCUAACUACGUGCCAGCAGCCGCGGUAAUACGUAGGGGGCAAGCGUUGUCCGGAUUUACUGGGUGUAAAGGGCGCGCAGGCGGGAUAAAAAGUCAGUGGUGAAAUCCUACAGCUUAACUGUAGAACUGCCUUUGAUACUUUUAUGCUUGAGUUCGGGAGAGAGAGACGGAAUUCCAGGUGUAGUGGUGAAAUACGUAGAUAUCUGGAAGAACACCAGUUGCGAAGGCGGUCUCUUGAUCCGACACUGACGCUGAGGCGCGAAAGCGUGGGGAGCAAACA